AUGUACUCGUCGCAGUCGCUGAGCCACGUCAACAACAUCCACACCUCCCUCAUCAAUGCGCAGAAAGGUACCCAAUCCGCCGCCACCUACUUUGCUCACAUGCGUGGCCUCGCCGACGAGCUGGCCGCAGCGGGCAAGCCGAUCCAAGAUGAUGAGCUGAUCUCCUACAUCCUCCAUGGGCUGGAUCUGGAGUACCAGCCCCUGGUCUCAGCCCUCGACGCUCGCGUCUCCCCCGCCUCCCUCGAUGAGAUCUUCGCCAUGCUCAGCAACUUCGACCAACGCAUGGCACAGUUCCACGGUGCGGGC
rnacentral:rRNA from 1 species